rnacentral:rRNA from 1 species
UACGGAGGGAGCUAGCGUUGUUCGGAAUUACUGGGCGUAAAGCGCGCGUAGGCGGCUUUGUAAGUUAGAGGUGAAAGCCCGGGGCUCAACCCCGGAACUGCCUUUAAGACUGCAUCGCUUGAAUCCGGGAGAGGUGAGUGGAAUUCCGGAGUGUAGAGGUGAAAUUCGUAGAUAUUCGGAAGAACACCAGUGGCGAAGGCGGCUCACUGGACCGGUAUUGACGCUGAGGCGCGAAAGCGUGGGGAGCAAACAGGG